GAUGAACGCUGGCGGCGUGCUUAACACAUGCAAGUCGAACGGUGAAGGCGGAGCUUGCUCUGCUGGAUCAGUGGCGAGCGGGUGAGUAACACGUGAGCAAUCUGCCCCUGACUCUGGGAUAAGCGCUGGAAACGGCGUCUAAUACUGGAUACGAGCUGCGAAGGCAUCUUCAGCAGCUGGAAAGAAUUUCGGUCAGGGAUGAGCUCGCGGCCUAUCAGCUUGUUGGUGAGGUAAUGGCUCACCAAGGCGUCGACGGGUAGCCGGCCUGAGAGGGUGACCGGCCACACGGGGACUGAGACACGGCCCAGACUCCUACGGGAGGCAGCAGUGGGGAAUAUUGAACAAUGGGCGAAAGCCUGAUGCAGCAACGCCGCGUGAGGGACGACGGCCUUCGGGUUGUAAACCUCUUUUAGCAGGGAAGAAGCGAAAGUGACGGUACCUGAAGAAAAAGCGCCGGCUAACUACGG
rnacentral:rRNA from 1 species